rnacentral:rRNA from 1 species
GAUGAACGCUGGCGGCGUGCCUAAUACAUGCAAGUCGAACGCAUAGCGAAAGGUGCUUGCACCUUUCAAGUGAGUGGCGAACGGGUGAGUAACACGUGGACAACCUGCCUCAAGGCUGGGGAUAACAUUUGGAAACAGAUGCUAAUACCGAAUAAAACUUAGUGUCGCAUGACACAAAGUUAAAAGGCGCUUCGGCGUCACCUAGAGAUGGAUCCGCGGUGCAUUAGUUAGUUGGUGGGGUAAAGGCCUACCAAGACAAUGAUGCAUAGCCGAGUUGAGAGACUGAUCGGCCACAUUGGGACUGAGACACGGCCCAAACUCCUACGGGAGGCUGCAGUAGGGAAUCUUCCACAAAGGGCGAAAGCCUGAUGGAGCAACGCCGCGUGUGUGAUGAAGGCUUUCGGGUCGUAAAGCACUGUUGUAUGGGAAGAACAGCUAGAAUAGGAAAUGAUUUUAGUUUGACGGUACCAUACCAGAAAGGGACGGCUAAAUACGUG